AGCGAACGCUGGCGGCAGGCCUAACACAUGCAAGUCGAACGAACCUUUCGGGGUUAGUGGCGGACGGGUGAGGAACACGUGGGAACGUGCCUUUAGGUUCGGAAUAACUCAGGGAAACAUGUGCUAAUACCGAAUGUGCCCUUCGGGGGAAAGAUUUAUCGCCUCUAGAGCGGCCCGCGUCUGAUUAGCUAGUUGGUUGAGGUAAUGGCUCACCAAGGCGACGAUCAGUAGCUGGUCUGAGAGGAUGAUCAGCCACAUUGGGACUGAGACACGGCCCAAACUCCGACGGGAGGCAGCAGUGGGGAAUAUUGCGCAAUGGGCGAAAGCCUGACGCAGCCAUGCCGCGUGAAUGAUGAAGGUCUUAGGAUUGUAAAAUUCUUUCACCGGGGACGAUAAUGACGGUACCCGGAGAAGAAGCCCCGGCUAACUUCGUG
rnacentral:rRNA from 1 species